GAUGAACGCUAGCGGCAGGCUUAACACAUGCAAGUCGAGGGGUAUAGGUUUUCGGACCUAGAGACCGGCGCACGGGUGCGUAACGCGUAUGCAAUCUACCUUUUACAGAGAGAUAGCCCAGAGAAAUUUGGAUUAAUACCUCAUAGUAUUAUUUAAUGGCAUCAUUUAAUAAUUAAAGUUCCAACGGUAAAAGAUGAGCAUGCGUCCCAUUAGCUAGAUGGUAAGGUAACGGCUUACCAUGGCGACGAGGGGUAGGGGUCCUGAGAGGGAGAUCCCCGAUCUAGUACUGGGACACCGACCACGCUCCUACGGGAGGCAGCAGGAAGGAAUAUUGGUCAAUGGGCGCAAGCCUGAACCAGCCAUGCCGCGUGCAGGAUGACGGUCCUGUGGAAUGUAAACUGCUUUUGUACAGGAAGAAACACUGUUUCGUGAACCAGCUUGACGGUACUGUAAGAAUAAGGAUCGGCUAACUCCGUGCCAGCAGCCGCGGUAAAAC
rnacentral:rRNA from 1 species